UGGGGAAUUUUGGACAAUGGGCGAAAGCCUGAUCCAGCAAUGCCGCGUGUGUGAAGAAGGCCUUCGGGUUGUAAGCACUUUUGUCCGGAAAGAAAUCCUUGGCUCUAAUACAGUCGGGGGAUGACGGUACCGGAAGAAUAAGCACCGGCUAACUACGUGCCAGCAGCCGCGGUAAUACGUAAGGUGCAAGCGUUAAUCGGAAUUACUGGGCGUAAAGCGUGCGCAGGCGGUUUGCUAAGACCGAUGUGAAAUCCCCGGGCUCAACCUGGGAACUGCAUUGGUGACUGGCAGGCUAGAGUAUGGCAGAGGGGGGUAGAAUUCCACGUGUAGCAGUGAAAUGCGUAGAGAUGUGGAGGAAUACCGAUGGCGAAGGCAGCCCCCUGGGCCAAUACUGACGCUCAUGCACGAAAGCGUGGGGAGCAAACAGGAUUAGAUACCCUGGUAGUCCACGCCCUAAACGAUGUCAACUAGUUGUUGGGGAUUCAUUUCCUUAGUAACGUAGCUAACGCGUGAAGUUGACCGCCUGGGGAGUACGGUCGCAAGAUUAAAACUUAAAUGAAUUGAC
rnacentral:rRNA from 1 species